UGAGUUUUUGACGGCGGUGAGCGAGGAGGACAUUCGAGGCAGAGUUGCCAAAAGAUCGGAUGCUUUUGAGCAACAAUCGCUCCGUCUGUGCACGUUUGCACAUCGGCUGGCAACUGGACAUCCAUGUCUGAGCGUGGCCACGAAACCAGGACCUGCGCGUCAACCCCUCGUCACGGCUAGCGUCGUCCUCUACGAGCUUCGCAUCGAGCGUCCUAAACGCUCACCAGGCAUUUAUAUUUGCUUUGUUCAUUUUUCUGGAUGGUCUAGCUGGCGAGGGUGGCGCACGCCUUAGAGAAGUUAACUGUUUAUUCAGUUCCACUAGCUAGCGCUUACCAGGAUGUAUGCCUACAUCACAAGAUAACGUACAGUUAGUUUUGUUGCUUAGCUGUAAGCCCGAGGUUUUGUGGGCAUGGCGUGCGGCCACACGGGUCUUCUCCGUGCCGGAAUCGAAGAGGACGGGCCACGUGUGUCGCGUGAUGGGGUAUAGCUUCAGGUUUAGCUAUCGCGCAGGCUGUAGCUGAUAGCCGUCCUACUACGACUGCGUCAGGGACAUGGACCCAUCCGUAUGGCCUUGCGACCCGACCCCACUAUUUCGUGACAAGGUAGCCCGCGCGCGUCAGUGCUAUCGAGCGAAAUGUGGGCUCACGGAAGCAAACGUCAUUCGGAAACUGCCUCGCCAGCUAUCAUGUACUAACCCGCUCUACGCAGCACCUCGACGCCGGACGUCGCCUGCUGUGUUCGUCGGAGCCGGGCCGGGCAGCAGCUACGGUAAGCGGCCCGUUUCAUUGACGUUGUUGCUGUUCGUUUUUUCAGCGUGUGUGCUUACUGUUCUCGCUACUUUCCAGAGCGUCACUCGCACCGCCGCACACCGUGUUCCGUCGUCGGUGCGGACUUGUGGGCCUGGACUACUACGGGAUCCCGAGGUCCGCUUUCGAGAUUGCGGACCACGAGUAGAAAGGAUAUCCAGUGUGCUGCUCCACGUUUGCCAUCCUCCCAACGUCCCCCACCGGAGAUGGCCUCGAGCACCUCUUACCGUGGCUGACCGCGUUGGCUCCUUUGCAUUUCCACGUCCAUGGCGUCCUGCUGGCACGAGGGACUUCGUCUGCUACUACUGGUAAAUUUCGC